GUGCCAGCAGCCGCGGUAAUACGAAGGGUGCAAGCGUUAGUCGGAAUUACUGGGCGUAAAGCGUGCGUAGGCGGUUUUCUAAGUCUGCCGUGAAAGCCCCGGGCUCAACCUGGGAAUGGCGGUGGAUACUGGAAAGCUGGAGUGCGGUAGAGGAGGGUGGAAUUCCCGGUGUAGCGGUGAAAUGCGUAGAGAUCGGGAGGAACAUCAGUGGCGAAGGCGGCCCUCUGGACCAGCACUGACGCUGAGGCACGAAAGCGUGGGGAGCAAACAGGAUUAGAUACCCUGGUAGUCC
rnacentral:rRNA from 1 species